CAAUAGCGUGUAUUAAAGUUGUUGCAGUUAAAAAGCUCGUAGUUGGAUUUCUGGUGGGAGCGAUCGGUCUGGCGCUUAGCGCGAGUACUUGCAUCGUCUCCGGCCAUCCUUGGGGAGAGUCUGUCUGGCAUUAGGUUGUCGGGCAGAGGAUCCUCAUCGUUUACUGUGAAAAAAUUAGAGUGUUCAAAGCAGGCUUAUGCCGUUGAAUAUAUUAGCAUGGAAUAAUAAGAUAGGACUUUGGUACUAUUUUGUUGGUUUGCGCACCAAAGUAAUGAUUAAUAGGGACAGUUGGGGGUAUUCGUAUUCCGUUGUCAGAGGUGAAAUUCUUGGAUUUACGGAAGACGAACUACUGCGAAAGCAUUUACCAAGGAUGUUUNCAUUAA
rnacentral:rRNA from 1 species